rnacentral:rRNA from 1 species
CCGGCACGGGUGAGUAACACGUAUCCAACCUGCCGUCUACUCUUGGCCAGCUCUGGAAGGAAGAUUAAUCCAGGAUGGCAUCAUGAGUUCACAUGUCCGCAUGAUUAAAGGUAUUUUCCGGUAGACGAUGGGGAUGCGUUCCAUUAGAUAGUAGGCGGGGUAACGGCCCACCUAGUCAACGAUGGAUAGGGGUUCUGAGAGGAAGGUCCCCCACAUUGGAACUGAGACACGGUCCAA